GAGAGUAUAGCUCAAGUGGUAGAGCGCAUGCUUAGCAUGCGUGAGGUCCCGGGUUCGAUCCCUAGUACCGCCU
rnacentral:tRNA from 1 species